rnacentral:rRNA from 1 species
UCCAGCCAUGCCGCGUGAGUGAUGAAGGCCCUAGGGUCGUAAAGCUCUUUCGCCAGGGAUGAUAAUGACAGUACCUGGUAAAGAAACCCCGGCUAACUCCGUGCCAGCAGCCGCGGUAAUACGGAGGGGGUUAGCGUUGUUCGGAAUUACUGGGCGUAAAGCGCGCGUAGGCGGACUGGAAAGUUGGGGGUGAAAUCCCGGGGCUCAACCCCGGAACUGCCUCCAAAACUCCCAGUCUUGAGUUCGAGAGAGGUGAGUGGAAUUCCGAGUGUAGAGGUGAAAUUCGUAGAUAUUCGGAGGAACACCAGUGGCGAAGGCGGCUCACUGGCUCGAUACUGACGCUGAGGUGCGAAAGUGUGGGGAGCAAACAGGAUUAGAUACCCUGGUAGUCCACACCGUAAACGAUGAAUGCCAGUCGUCGGGUAGCAUGCUAUUCGGUGACACACCUAACGGAU